UACGUUCCCGGGCCUUGUACACACCGCCCGUCAAGCCAUGGAAGCUGGGGGUGCCUGAAGUCGGUGAACGCAAGGAGCUGCCUAGGGUAAAACUGGUAACUAGGGCU
rnacentral:rRNA from 1 species